rnacentral:rRNA from 1 species
CUUGAGCGUUGACGUUACCUACAGAAGAAGCACUGGCUAACUCUGUGCCAGCAGCCGCGGUAAUACAGAGAGUGCAAGCGUUAAUCGGAAUCACUGGGCGUAAAGCGCGCGUAGGUGGAUAUUUAAGUCGGAUGUGAAAGCCCUAGGCUUAACCUAGGAACUGCACUCGAUACUGGGUAUCUCGAGUAUGGUAGAGGGAAGUGGAAUUUCCGGUGUAGCGGUGAAAUGCGUAGAUAUCGGAAAGAACACCAGUGGCGAAGGCGGCUUCCUGGACCAAUACUGACACUGAGGCGCGAAAGCGUGGGGAGCAAACAGGAUUAGAGACCCUGGUAGUCCACGCCGUCAACGAUGAGAACUAGCUGUUGGAGAGUUUACUUUCUAGUAGCGAAGCUAACGCGUUAAGUUCUCCGCCUGGGGAGUACGGCCGCAAGGUUAAAACUCAAAGAAAUUGACGGGGGCCCGCACAAGCGGUGG